rnacentral:piRNA from 1 species
GUCUGAUGAGCAGGAGGUAGGGACCA